UUGUAAGUGUUUAAGAGCGUUCGGUGGAUGCCUUGGCACCAGGAGCCGAUGAAGGACGUAGGAGGCUGCGAUAAGCCUCGGGGAGCUGUCAACCGAGCUGAGAUCCGAGGAUUUCCGAAUGGGGAAACCCAGCACGAGUGAUGUCGUGUUACCCGCGCCUGAAUAUAUAGGGUGUGUGGAGGGAACGUGGGGAAGUGAAACAUCUCAGUACCCACAGGAAGAGAAAACAAGAGUGAUUCCGUGAGUAGUGGCGAGCGAAAGCGGAUGAGGCUAAACCAUGUAGAUGUGAUAGCCGGCAGGCGUUGUCUAUGUGGGGUUGUGGGGUUGCUCUUCCCGGUUCUGCCGAGCUGGGCGUGAGUCAGAAACCGUUGUGUUAGCUGAAGUGGUCUGGGACGGCCUACCGUAGACGGUGAGAGUCCGGUAAGUGAAAACAUGACGGCUCAUGUGAGUGAUACCCGAGUAGCAGCGGGCCCGUGAAAUCUGCUGUGAAUCUGCCGGGACCACCCGGUAAGCCUGAAUACUCCCUGGUGACCGAUAGCGGACUAGUACCGUGAGGGAAAGGUGAAAAGUACCCCGGGAGGGGAGUGAAAUAGUACCUGAAACCGUGCGCUUACAAUCCGUCAGAGCCUGCGCCCAGUUUUCUGGGGUGGGUGAUGGCGUGCCUUUUGAAGAAUGAGCCUGCGAGUUAGUGGCAUGUGGCGAGGUUAACCCGUGUGGGGUAGCCGUAGCGAAAGCGAGUCCGAAUAGGGCGUUGAGUCGCGUGUUCUAGACCCGAAGCGGAGUGAUCUACCCAUGGCCAGGGUGAAGCGACGGUAAGACGUCGUGGAGGCCCGAACCCACUUAGGUUGAAAACUGAGGGGAUGAGCUGUGGGUAGGGGUGAAAGGCCAAUCAAACUCCGUGAUAGCUGGUUCUCCCCGAAAUGCAUUUAGGUGCAGCGUCACGUGUUUCACGCCGGAGGUAGAGCUACUGGAUGGCCUAGGGGGCCUACAAGCUUACCGAAGUCAGCCAAACUCCGAAUGCCGGUGUGUGAGAGCGUGGCAGUGAGACUGCGGGGGAUAAGCUUCGUAGUCGAGAGGGAAACAGCCCAGAUCGCCGGCUAAGGCCCCUAAGCGUGUACUAAGUGGAAAAGGAUGUGGGGUCGCGAAGACAACCAGGAGGUUGGCUUAGAAGCAGCCA
rnacentral:rRNA from 1 species